GGGUCUUGGGAUAUUUGGGGUUAAGCAUCCUUGGGUUUGAAUAGUACUAGGCUGGGUGACCUCUCGGGAAGUCCAAACUCAAGAGCUU
rnacentral:rRNA from 1 species